AUGUCGCCUAAAUUCAACCACAAUGAGUUCAAAGUCACAUAACUGAAGUACUCUGGUGACAAAGCUGGUGCAGCAUCUGCCCUGGCCCCCAAGAUCAGCCCCCUGGGUCUACCUUCAGCAAAGAUUGGCAAUAAUAUCACCAAGGCAACCCAUGACUGGGAGGGUCCGAGGAUUACAGUGAAACUGACCAUUUAGAACCGACAAGCCCAGAUUGAGGGGGUGCUUUUUGCCUCUGGCCUGAUCAUCGAAUCCCUGAAGGAACUGCUAGGAGAAAGAAACAGAACAUCAAACAUAGUGAAAAGAUCACUUUUGAUGAGAUUGUCAACAUUUCCCAACACAUGCAUUGCUGAUCUUUAGCCAGAGAGUCUUCUAAAACCAUUAAAGAUAUUCUCGGUACUACCCAGAAUGUGGGCUACACCACUGUUGCUGCCACCUUUAUGGUAUCAUAGAUUGCAUAAACAGAGGUAUGUGCAAUGCCA
rnacentral:lncRNA from 1 species